rnacentral:tRNA from 1 species
GGGGCUGUAGCUCAGUGGCAGAGUGUUUGCCUAGAAUGCAUGAGGCACUGGGUUUGAUCCUCAGCACCA